AUGACGCCCUUCAGUGUUCAUCGCUUGCUAAUUACAAGUGUGGCGGUUGCUGCCAAAUUCACAGAUGAUGCGUUUUUCAACAAUACAUUCUAUGCUAGGGUGGGAGGAAUCAACACAAUCGAGAUGAAUCGUCUCGAGCUGCAUUUGUUGUUUAAUCUGGACUUCAGGCUGAAAGUGAACCUAGAGACUUUUUUGGGAGCUACUGCUUGCAACUGGAGAAACAUGCACCGGUGUCACCAGAGAGACUGUCGGUUCAGGUUCAUUGUGUCAAAUGAUCUAAAGAUUUGA
rnacentral:rRNA from 1 species